CUCCAGUUAGCCUAGUGGUUAAGGCUUUGAAUCGUCAAUCCGGAGACGGCGGGUUCAAUUCCCGUUCUGGUCG
rnacentral:tRNA from 1 species